rnacentral:rRNA from 1 species
UGGGGAAUAUUGGACAAUGGGCGCAAGCCUGAUCCAGCCAUGCCGCGUGUGUGAAGAAGGCCUUAUGGUUGUAAAGCACUUUAAGCGAGGAGGAGGCUACUUUAGUUAAUACCUAGAGAUAGUGGACGUUACUCGCAGAAUAAGCACCGGCUAACUCUGUGCCAGCAGCCGCGGUAAUACAGAGGGUGCAAGCGUUAAUCGGGUUUACUGGGCGUAAAGCGUGCGUAGGCGGCUAAUUGAGUCGGAUGUGAAAUCCCCGAGCUUAACUUGGGAAUUGCAUUCGAUACUGGUUAGCUAGAGUGUGGGAGAGGAUGGUAGAAUUCCAGGUGUAGCGGUGAAAUGCGUAGAGAUCUGGAGGAAUACCGAUGGCGAAGGCAGCCAUCUGGCCUAACACUGACGCUGAGGUACGAAAGCAUGGGGAGCAAACAGG